AACCCGUUAAUUAUUUUAUUCAUUCCCAUCUGGCAUUAGAGGCGCGGGGUUGUGGGGAUGUGUUAUAAAGCAAGGGAGAAGGAAGAGAAAAAAAUCUUUGAUUUUAGGCUUCUCAAUAGGUACUUCCCUAUUCUUCCAAUCAAUAGUUGGACAGUGUUGCCCUGACCGGUUUGGCCCAGUG